GCCCAGGUGGUGGAAUUUCGGUAGACGCGCUGGCUUGAGGGGCUGGUGACCAUUGCGGUCGUGCGGGUUCGAGUCCCGCCCUGGGCA
rnacentral:tRNA from 1 species